UACGUAGGGUGCGAGCGUUAAUCGGAAUUACUGGGCGUAAAGCGUGCGCAGGCGGUUCGUUGUGUCGGCGGUGAAAGCCCCGGGCUCAACCUGGGAAUGGCCGUUGAAACUGGCGAACUGGAGUGUGGCAGAGGGGGGUGGAAUUCCGCGCGUAGCAGUGAAAUGCGUAGAUAUCGGGAGGAACACCAGUGGCGAAGGCGACUUCCUGGCCUGUUCUUGACGCUGAGGCGCGAAAGCCAGGGGAGCAAACGGG
rnacentral:rRNA from 1 species